rnacentral:rRNA from 1 species
GUGAGUAGUUCUAGAGUUUGAUCCUGGCUCAGGAUGAACGCUGGCGGCGUGCUUAACACAUGCAAGUCGAACGGACUGUACUUCGGUACAGUUAGUGGCGGACGGGUGAGUAACGCGUGGGUAACCUGCCUCACACUGGGGGAUAACAGUUAGAAAUAGCUGCUAAUACCGCAUAAGCGCACGAAGUCGCAUGACUUAGUGUGAAAAACUCCGGUGGUGUGAGAUGGACCCGCGUCUGAUUAGCUAGUUGGUGAGGUAACGGCCCACCAAGGCGACGAUCAGUAGCCGGCCUGAGAGGGUGAACGGCCACAUUGGGACUGAGACACGGCCCAA